ACACUCCCUCCCCGCCCUUGCAGUGUCCUUUAGUCCUUCGUGAAUAAAUCGAAAUUAAAUGAAGCAAAUGCUUUUUUGAAGGCAAAUUUGGUGCCAAGGACCAUCCUAAGUGAUUCAGAUGGCCUCACAAGCUGCUUUGACCUCAAGCAAACACAGAGGAAUGUGGGGGACACAUCAUAGAAGACACUUCCUGAUGAAGAGGAAGGAGGGAUAAACAGGAACACCGUAAAGAAAAGAAGGGAUCUAAUUCCAGCUUGAAGACACACAUUUUUUUCAUCGUUCACCAGACAGCAGGACACGGGCAGCAGAGUGCAGACAUCAGAAAAGGCAGAAGCAACUCAAGUGUUCAACAAAUAAAUGGAUAAGCAAAAUGUGGUAUGACCAUGCCAUGGAAUAUUAUUCUGGCAGAAACAAGAAUGAAGUACUGAUACAUGCUACAACAUGAAUGAACCUUGACAACAUGCUGAGUGAAAUAAGCCAGACACGAAAAGACAAACACAGUGUGAUUGUAUUUAUGUGAAAUAUCUAGAGUAGGCAAAUUCAUAGAGACAGAAAGUAGACUUGAGAUUACCACAGGUUUGGGGGACAGGGAAUCUGAGUUAUUGUUUAAUGGAUAUAGAGUUUCAGAUUGGAGUCAUUAAAAAGAUUUGGAAAUAGUGUUUAUGGUUGCAUAGUACUGUGAAUGUACUUAAUGCCGCUGAAUUGUAUGUUUUAAAAUGGUUACACUGGCACAUUUUAUGUAGUAUACAUUUUACCACAAUAAAAA
rnacentral:lncRNA from 10 species